UACGGGGGGGGCAAGCGUUGUUCGGAAUUAUUGGGCGUAAAGAGCUCGUAGGCGGCUUGUCACGUCGGGUGUGAAAGCCCGGGGCUUAACCCCGGGUCUGCAUUCGAUACGGGCAGGCUAGAGUGAUGUAGGGGAGACUGGAAUUCCUGGUGUAGCGGUGAAAUGCGCAGAUAUCAGGAGGAACGCCGGUGGCGAAGGCGGGUCUCUGGGCAGUAACUGACGCUGAGGAGCGAAAGCGUGGGGAGCGAACAGG
rnacentral:rRNA from 1 species